GUGAGGAAUUUUCCGCAAUGGGCGAAAGCCUGACGGAGCAAUGCCGCGUGAAGGAUGAAGGCCUAUGGGUUGUAAACUUCUUUUCUUAGAGAAGAAUAUUGACGGUAUCUGAGGAAUAAGCAUCGGCUAACUCUGUGCCAGCAGCCGCGGUAAGACAGAGGAUGCAAGCGUUAUCCGGAAUGAUUGGGCGUAAAGCGUCUGUAGGUGGCUUCAAAAGUCUCCUGUCAAAGAUCAGGGCUUAACCCUGGGCCGGCAGGUGAAACUCUGAGGCUAGAGUUUGGUAGAGGCAGAGGGAAUGCCCGGUGGAGCGGUGAAAUGCGUAGAGAUCGGGAGGAACACCAAAGGCGAAAGCACUCUGCUGGGCCACAACUGACACUGAGAGACGAAAGCGAGGGGAGCAAAAGGGAUUAGAUACCCGGGUAGUCC
rnacentral:rRNA from 1 species